rnacentral:rRNA from 1 species
GACGAACGCUGGCGGCGUGCUUAACACAUGCAAGUCGAACGGAAAGGCCCUGCUUUUGUGGGGUGCUCGAGUGGCGAACGGGUGAGUAACACGUGAGUAACCUGCCCUUGACUUUGGGAUAACUUCAGGAAACUGGGGCUAAUACCGGAUAGGAGCUCCUGCUGCAUGGUGGGGGUUGGAAAGUUUCGGCGGUUGGGGAUGGACUCGCGGCUUAUCAGCUUGUUGGUGGGGUAGUGGCUUACCAAGGCUUUGACGGGUAGCCGGCCUGAGAGGGUGACCGGCCAAAUUGGGACUGAGAUACGGCCCAGACUCCUACGGGAGGCAGCAGUGGGGAAUAUUGCACAAUGGGCGGAAGCCUGAUGCAGCAACGCCGCGUGCGGGAUGACGGCCUUCGGGUUGUAAACCGCUAUCGCCUGUGACGAAGCGUGAGUGACGGUAAUGUGUAAAGAAGCACCGGCUAACUACGUG